GGCCAGAUAGUCUAGUGGCACAUGACAAUUUGGCAAAAUACCCGAUAGGCCGGGGUUCGAUUCCCUCUCUGGCCU